UACGUAGGGGGCUAGCGUUGUCCGGAAUCAUUGGGCGUAAAGAGCGUGUAGGCGGCCCGGUAAGUCCGCUGUGAAAGUCGGGGGCUCAACCCUCGAAUGCCGGUGGAUACUGUCGGGCUAGAGUGCGGAAGAGGCGAGUGGAAUUCCUGGUGUAGCGGUGAAAUGCGCAGAUAUCAGGAGGAACACCAAUUGCGAAGGCAGCUCGCUGGGACGUGACUGACGCUGAGGCGCGAAAGCGUGGGGAGCAAACAGG
rnacentral:rRNA from 1 species